rnacentral:rRNA from 1 species
GUUUUUUGGUCAAGCUACUAAGAGCUACUGGUGGAUGCCUUGGCAUCAACAGGCGAUGAAGGACGCGAUUACCUGCGAUAAUCUUCGGGGAGCUGGAAAGAAGCUUUGAUCCGGAGGAUUCCGAAUGGGGCAACCCGGUGGGACUAAUCUCCCAUCAUCUUAUACUGAAUUCAUAGGUAUGAGAGGCGAUACCCGCCGAACUGAAACAUCUCAGUAAGCGGAGGAAAAGAAAUCAAACAGAGAUUCCCAUAGUAGCGGCGAGCGAAGUGGGAAUAGCCCAAACCGAAGCCUUUGGCUUCGGGGUUGUAGGACCAGUCAAAAGAUUAGGGAUCUCUAGCCGAACAUUUUUGGAAAACUAGGCGAUACAGGGUGAUAGCCCCGUAGGCGAAAGAGUGAACUAACAGGAUUGGCACCUGAGUAGGGCCGGACACGGGAAACCCGGUCUGAACCUGGGGAGACCACUCUCCAAGGCUAAAUACUCGUUGAUGACCGAUAGUGAACCAGUACUGUGAAGGAAAGGCGAAAAGAACCCCUGUUAGGGGAGUGAAAUAGAACCUGAAACCAGUAGCUUAUAAACGGUCGAAGGCCUAUGGUCCUUUUAGGGCAAUGGCUGACGGCGUGCCUUUUGCAUGAUGAGCCAGGGAGUUACGUUAUAUGGCAAGGUUAAGGGACUACGUUCCGAAGCCGAAGCGAAAGCGAGUCUUAACAGGGCGAAUAGUCGUAUGGCGUAGACACGAAACCAAGUGAUCUAUCCAUGGUCAGGUUGAAGCUGGGGUAACACCUAGUGGAGGACCGAACCAGUAUCUGUUGAAAUAGAUUUGGAUGAACUGUGGAUAGGGGUGAAAGGCCAAUCAAACUUGGAAAUAUCUUGUUCUCUCCGAAAUAACUUUAGGGUUAGCCUCGAAAUUAAGCAAUUGGGGGUAGAGCACUGGAUUCCCACGGGGGCCUACCGGCCUACCAACGGAAACCAAACUCCGAAUACCAAUUGCAAGUUCGGGAGUUAGACAGUGGGGGAUAAGCUUCAUUGUCGAAAGGGGAACAGCCCAGAUCGUCGAUUAAGGCCCCUAAUUCUAUGCUAAGUGAGUAAGGUGGUGAAGUUUCUAAAACAGUUGGAAUGUUGGCUUAGAGGCAGCAAUCAUUUAAAGAGUGCGUAACAGCUCACCAAUCGAGAGACUUUGCGCCGAUAAUUAUCGGGACUAAGCAUAGAGCCGAAAUCACGGGUGUAUCUUUUGAUACGCGGUAGGAGAGCGUAGUAUUCAGCACUGAAGGUGUACCGUAAGGAGCGCUGGAGCGGAUACUAGUGAAAAUCCAUGGCAUAAGUACACGUUAAAGGAGGUGAAAAUCCUCCUCGCCGAAAACCGAAGGUUUCCAGGGUAAAGCUCGUCUUCCCUGGGUUAGUCGGCCCCUAAGUCCAGGCGGAAACGCGUAGGCGAUGGGAAGCAGGUUAAAUAUUCCUGCACCACCUAAAACUAUGAUGAUGAGAUGACGGAGUAUGUUAAGCACGCGGACGAUUGGAAGUGUCCGUGGCACAGUGAGGUUGGUUAGUAGGCAAAUCCGCUAACAUAAUGCCAGGCUGUGACCAAGGGGAAUCUUCGGAGGAACCGAUGGUGUAGCGCUAGGCUUCCAGGAAAUAGUCUCUAAUCGUUGAUGGUGACCGUACUAAAACCGACACAGGUAGGUGAGAUGAAUAUUCUCAGGCGCGCGAGUUAACUCUCGUUAAGGAACUCGGCAAAUUAUCCUCGUAACUUCGGGAGAAGAGGAGCCAUUUGGUGUGAUUGUGCUUGCCACAUGAGCACCGAGUGGUCGCAGAGAAUAGGCCCAGGCGACUGUUUACCAAAAACACAGCACUAUGCAAACCCGCGUAAGGGGAAGUAUAUGGUGUGACGCCUGCCCAAUGCCAAAAGGUCAAAGGGAGGUGUUAGUUCUUCGGAACGAAGCACUGAACUAAAGCCCUGGUGAAUGGCGGCCGUAACUAUAACGGUCCUAAGGUUUUAGCAAGCUUUAGUAAAACCAAACUAUAUGCGGGGAAGCCCUCAAAAACUUUUAGUACUCGUCACUUCAGUGGCAGUAAAAAUCUAAAAGACAGGGGGGUAAUCCGCAGGAAAGACCAAAAGAUUAAUUUUGGAAUCCUCAGAGACUAUACGUUUGGAGUUUGUUAUGCAGUUAGAAACACAAUGGAUUGUUGGUUUUAUAGAUGGUGAAGGUUGUUUUCGCAUAGCGAUUAAUCGCGAUGAGGAGAUGACUUUAGGAUUUCAGGUUUUACCUGAGUUCACUGUUGUCCAACAUGAGAGAGAUAUUCAAAUCUUAUACGCUUUGAAAAAGCAUUUUGGUUGUGGAGUGGUUCGCAAGAAUCAAGACAGUCGAAUUGCCUAUCAAGUGAAGAGUUUUGAUCAUCUUAGGGAUGUAAUUGUCCCAUUUUUUGAGAAGCACGAGCUUAAAACUAAAAGGCGCGUGGAUUUUCAAAAGUUUCGAAAAGUCCUUCUCCUUAUGGAGAGAGGCAAGCAUUUGACUCAAGAGGGCCUUGAAGAGAUUCAGGGCAUUAAGGAGCAAAUGAACAAGCUAAGAUAGAGUCCGACUCUUGUGGAAACACAAGAGAGCAAUCGAGCGAAAUUCCUUGUCGGGUAAGUUCCGACCUGCACGAAUGGUGUAACGAUUUGGGCGCUGUCUCAACGAGAGGCUCGGUGAAAUUGUAGUAGCAGUGAAGAUGCUGUUUACCCGCAAAAGGACGGAAAGACCCCGUGAACCUUUACUGUACUUUGGUAUUGGCUUCUGAUUUGUCAUGUGUAGGAUAACCGGGAGACUUUGAUCUGGCGUCGUCAGGCGUUAGGGAGUCAUCCUUGAAAUACCGGUCUUGACAAGUCGGGAAUCUAACACUCUCCCAUGAAUCUGGGAAGUGGACAGUGCCAGACGGGCAGUUUUACUGGGGCGGUAUCCUCCUAAAGUGUAACGGAGGAGUUCAAAGCUUACCUCAUCGUGGUUGGUCAUCACGAGUAGAGCGUAAAGGUAUAAGGUAAGUUGACUGUGAGACUUACAAGUCGAGCAGAGACGAAAGUCGGACUUAGUGAUCCGGCGGUGGAAUGUGGAAUCGCCGUCGCUUAACGGAUAAAAGGUACUCCGGGGAUAACAGGCUUAUCGCCACCAAGAGUUCAUAUCGACGUGGCGGUUUGGCACCUCGAUGUCGGCUCAUCGCAUCCUGGGGCUGUAGAAGGUCCCAAGGGUUUGGCUGUUCGCCAAUUAAAGCGGUACGCGAGCUGGGUUCAAAACGUCGUGAGACAGUUUGGUCCCUAUCCUUUGCGGGCGCAGGAUACUUGAGAGGAGCUGCUCCUAGUACGAGAGGACCGGAGUGGACGAACCAAUGGUGUUCCGGUUGUUCUACCAAGAGCAUAGCCGGGUAGCUACGUUCGGAAAGGAUAAGCGUUGAAAGCAUCUAAACGCCAAGCCUCCCUCAAGAUAAGGUAUCCCUAGAGACUCCAUGAAGACUACAUGGUUGAUAGGUUGGGUGUGUAAGCACAGUAAUGUGUUAAGCUAACCAAUACUAAUUAGUCCAUCGGCUUGACCAU